rnacentral:precursor_RNA from 1 species
CUGGGCCCAGCCCCAGUUCUGCCAGAAGCAGAGCUGAGGGCAGAGUCCAGGA